GGGAUUGUGGCUCAGUGGUAGAGCACUUGCUUAAAAUGCAUCAAUCACUGAGUUUAAUCCUCAGCAUCACA
rnacentral:tRNA from 1 species